AGAACGCUGGCGGCAUGCUUAACACAUGCAAGUCGAACGAAUAGUAGCAAUACUAUUAGUGGCAAACGGGUGAGUAAUACGUAGGAAUCUCCCCUAUAGUAUGGAACAACAGUUGGAAACGACUGCUAAUACCAUAUACGCUCUUCGGAGGAAAGAUUUAUCGCUAUAGGAUGAGCCUGCGCUAAAUUAGAUUGUUGGUAGGGUAAUGGCCUACCAAGUCGAUGAUUUAUAGCUGGUCUGAGAGGACGAUCAGCCACACUGGAACUGAGAAACGGUCCAGACUCCUACGGGAGGCAGCAGUGAGGAAUAUUGGACAAUGGGCGCAAGCCUGAUCCAGCAAUGUCGCGUGAAUGAUGAAGGCCUUAGGGUUGUAAAAUUCUUUCGGUGGGGAAGAAAUUGACGGUACCCACAGAAGAAGCUCCGGCUAACUCC
rnacentral:rRNA from 1 species